CAAGAAUUAUUUAAAAUUAUACUAAUUGCUUAAAAUUAAUAUUUUGCUUUUUAAUUUUACGAGGUACUUUUGAAUAUUUUAGGUGGAAAAUAACUUUUGACUUCUUCAAUAAAAAUGAUUUUAAUAAUGUUGUUUUAUAUUUAUCAUAAUUUACAUUUGGAUGAAAAAUACAAAUUUUGUACAUGUUGAGCAUCGUUUAAUGGAUCCUUCAUAUUAUUACCAUCAUUGAACAUAGAUUUUCCUUGAAUGAAAGAAAGACUCCUCAUGUAGCUGCCUUACUUCUUAAUGACUUCCUUCUCUGUCAGUCCCUGUUUAUUCGAAACCUGAAAAGCCAAAAGAUUUUAAAUCUUCCCUUUGGCCAACAUUCUAAAAGGUAAAAGAUUUAUAUGAUCUGAAGAGAAACCAGAGAAUUCAACAUUCUAAUAGGUAACCUUCUUUAUGCUCUAUCAUUUUAAAAACUUAUCUGCACAAAAGAAAACUGGAUGGUCUAAAGUAUAGUAGCUUCCUCACAAGCAGCAAAAAUGCUGCUCCACUGACAGCAUUUUAAAGUUCAGUAAUGACGGACGUACUCACUUUCAUCUAAAUGUAGGAGUAAACA
rnacentral:lncRNA from 1 species